UGUAAACCCCCCCAAGGCCUCCACCCUCCUGGUCUGCUAUUUAUUCCUCUCUCCCUCAGUGCUUGCAGCAAAGGCGUGCAAACAUUUCCUGUAACCCAAGCGGCAAUAUUCAACAGCUCUCCCAGUUUCUUUAACAAUAACCGACCAAAAGAUGCCAGGAUAUAUCCAAACAAGAAGCAGCUCAGGCUGGGAGAAAGAAAGUGGAAAUAAAGGGGCGAUAACAGCAAAUGUGGGAGAUGCUGGUGCCCAUGCAGUUAUGCGAGCAGGCGGAGGCAUUACUGCUAAUGCAGCUGGAGCACUUGAGAUGAUCGAUACCUUUUACUGAGGAAACUUUUGCUCGGGCUGGAACAUUUGCAGAUGCGUUUGAGGACAAACCAGGGAAGCGUCUUCCCAAAGCCGGAGCAUAUGCUGAAGCAGGAGUGGGGCACGCCCGUGCUGAAUGGAGCGUUUUUGACGCAGAGGCCAAAGGACCCAAUGCCAGCGCAGGAGCUGGAGCCUCUGUGGCCUCUGUGAGUGCCCAAGCCUUUGCCAGAGCAGAAAUAGCCAGUGCUUCGGCCUCUGCUGGUCCAUUAAAAGCUACAGUUGGUCUGGGAUUAGACACAGGAGUGGGAGUUAGUCCCACAGGUUUCGAAGCCAAGGUGCUGGGAACAGGUAUCUCCUUUGGUCGCAAAAUGGGCAUUUCUCUGUUUGGCACUGGUUUUGAAUUCAACCUGUGGUAAACUGUGCCCAGUACAGAUCUUUCUAAACCGUGCAGUGCCUUGUCUUAAAACAACAAGGCCUCAAAUCUCCAGCCACCCCUGAGAGACUUUUCUUAAUAUGCCGACAAAAACAUUAAAGUUUAGCACCAUUAGUGCCACCAGAGCAGAUACCAGGUUUGUUCUUGAGAUUUCACUCAUUGUUUAACACACAGGAAGCACAGGUCAUCCCUCCGAUCUUUAUGUAUG